GCUCCGAGGCCCGUGGAAUCAGUACCUGGAGGUGCUUGGGAACAAUUGCUGUAAACCACUAAUGGCGCUUCUCACCCUCCAGCUUGCUAGGUGCUACUUCAGCUGUAUUUGAAACCAUUGCAUGGAUGCAAGCCACCACCAACCCUUUCAAAUGUGGUUAUGAACCCUGGUGAGGACAGGCCAUACAGAGCUUGUUGGGCCCCAGUUUAAAAGCAAGUGACUAUCGGCUCCUCCUUUCUCACUUGACCUGCUGCCCGUGUGUGUUCAGAGUCAGAUCGGCUCACUUUCAUGAGUAAAAUGAGUGCUUACUACUUCUCUCUUCCUCAGUACUUUGGUCUUCACCACUGUAGCCUCUGAGCACCUGCUUUAUACGCCUCUUCUCCUUGCAGAACCAACGCAGCAUCGAGAGAGAGAGAGAGAUCCGGAUUCUAGUCUGCAUUGCUCAUGGUCAAAAGAAUUAACGAAACGGUGACGUUAUGGGUAUUGUUUCUUUAAAUCUGUAGCAAUCCGCCAGGCAGCACUGAGGCUUGGGGAGCUUCUAGGCAGAGCUCUACAGUAAAGCAGAAACAGAGGAGCUUUAGGGUUAGCAUUGCGUUGCUUAUUCUAAUAAAGGUCCAUGUUCCGUGUUGGAAGAAAGUGAUGCUCUCUAGGAUUCUUUGCCACUGGCACAUGACGGUGUCCGAGAUAAACUCCUUCUGGAGCAGGAUCAAUAACAGGAAAAGAAAACUGCCAAAGUUCAGCGCUCCCCGGCCCUUUGGGUUUGACAAGCCCCUGGACUGGCCCGAAUGAAAGGAGUUUCACCAAAUCCCGAGCCGCGAUGAAGCUAAACGCAGAGCACAGUGAAGUACAAGGCAGCUCACUGUGAUCAGCGCUGGCACCUCCCGGACUAAGGGUCCAUUUCACUGACUGUGAGAAGCUGGAAAUGUCCCAGUGAUCCUGUAACUGCUGGGAAGUUUCUCCUGGGCUCAUGAGUUACAAUGAAGAUGAGGAUUUCCUUCCACUCGCAUUGUGCAAUGGGCAACCCCUCUCUGUCCAGUUACCUCCUUUUCUUUUUUACGGUCCAUGUUUCUACAUUGGAAUCAGUGAAUUUCAAGGUGAUUGGACCUGAUCAUCCCAUCAUGGCCUCUGUAGGUGAAGAUGCCCUGUUACCCUGUCACCUCUUCCGUAACACAAGUGCUCAGAAGAUGGAGGUGCGCUGGUACCGAUCCAAGUACUCUGAACCUGUCCAUCUGUAUCAGAAUGAAAAAGAUCAGGCUGAGCAGCAAAUACCAAAUUAUCAGGGCAGAACAGAGCUGCUGAAGGAUGGUAUUGUGGAUGGAAGCGUUGUCCUGCGUAUACGCAACAUCACCCCCUCUGACCAUGGGCAGUUUAUCUGUUUCUUCCGAUCAAGCAGAUUUUAUGCGGAAGCCACUCUGGAACUGAAGGUGACAGGGCUACACGCCAUGCCAAACACAAAAGUCACCUGCUGAAUUAUUGCACGGUAGAGAGAUGCAUACUAAAUUAAACAUUGCUGGAUUACAUGGGCCUAUAUCUGAUAUAUCAUUGCUGCCGGAUAUCAGACAAACAGUUCAAUGAAAACCACAAAAAUAUAAGAUGCAGAUAAAUGCUGUGGGGUCAGGGAACUGAAAUUCAAAUGUGGCUUGUUUAUAGAAGUAUGAAAACCUGGAAUGUUAGGAAAAGGAGAACCCAGGUUCACUUCCCCACUGAAAAUUGUUUCUAAAAAGGACUAUGACACUCCGUACCUCAGAGUAGCACUCUGGAACUCCCAUAUUCAUCACUGUCAUAGAAUUAUGAUAUGUUUUGUACGAAGUUUGCCUUGAGAGGUAUCAUGUUAAAAGUCUUGAUCUGUUGAACAUUAAUAUCCUGUUGGAUUGUAUGUGCUAUCAUGGUAUAGGAAGUUAUGAAGUUUUGCUAUGUAUGUGUUACUGAAAUAUGUUGUGAGGUUGGGAACACCCACAACCAACCUUUCAGGUGCAACAAUGGAGGAGGCAGACAGGGGUUAAUGGCUCAUCAACACCCAUCAAGGAAAGGAUCUCAGAAACUGUAUACAAUGGAAACUUCUCAGAGAGAACAUGUAGACAAUGGAGACUGCUUGACCAAUGGAGACUACCUGAUCCCCACACCACAGCAAAGGAUUUUUCCAACAAGCUGGAAGAAACUAUAAAAGAGGGGAAGUGACAUCAUCACUUGGCCUCACUCCCUCCCACAACUCAACACCUGGAAACAUGUUUGGAGGACAAAGACUUUGUAUGUGGGAGGGCGGUUUCAGGCUGGAAAAGAGUCCCAGCCUGUGUAUUGAGGAACUAUCCUAUCCUGUUUAGUUUAUAGAACUCAGAUUGUGAAUUUACUUUUAUUUCUUAGGUAACCAACUUUGAUCUCUACAUUCGCUACCUAUAAUCACUUAAAAUCUAUCUUUCUGUAGUUUAUAUUUUACCUAAAACAGUGUGGUUUGGUUGAAGUGCUUGGGAAAUCUCAGCUCAGUUUACAUCGAAGCAGGGGCAGUCUGGGUAAUGAACUUAUUCUGGUUAGGCUUCUGACCAGGGCAAGAUGGUACAGCUCUGCGGUGCAAGGCUGGGAAGCUGGGGGGAAUUGGCUGGGGAGCUGGGGGGGAAUUGGCUGGAGCCUCCCUAUUGUUGGUUCAUGAAUGACUGGGAGAAGCAUUCAUGUAACUCAGCUGGGUGUGUUGCUGUCUAUGGAUGGCUGUGUAAGGGUAGUGCCUGCCAGGGGUAUGUGGCUUGACACAGCAUCACAGUGUGAGGGGCACCCCAUGUUGGAGGGACAGAGGGCUCAGUGGUCCCACAGUCCAUGUUGCACCCCAGGGACCCCGUCACAAGGACCUCACGCUUACAAGCUGUCAGAUGGUCAGUCUGGAGCACUAUUCAUCUUGCCCCUGCUUACUAAGACAUAGUGCAAUGUUUCAGACUAUCUAACUAGCCCUUUGCUGCUGACAGUACAGGAUAACUGACAGGAUAUUGGGCCUGACAAAUAUGCUGUCAGAGUCUGACAGCCAACUGUAUUGGCUAGAGACUGUGUUCUGUAAUUAUUAAAGGAACAGUCUUCUAUUAUAACUAGAAUUCUAAUUACAGUUACAUAACUACUUCUUAGUUAUUGUUUAUUUGCUAAUUACAUAAUUUAUGUUUAUUAUAGUAGCAGGUUAUUGGAUUAGUAUUACUGCCGUAAGAUUGAGUUUGUUCUAAGACGAGGGAAAUGUGGUGUUGUUAGAUCCAGCAUUGAUUGCUGAGAGCUGUAGUCUUUGUUUAGAAGCCAACAGGAAACAGGAAGUGUAAAUAUGGGUGUUGCUUCAUUGUUGUCGUAAUAAACCUUGUUGGAUUUCA